rnacentral:rRNA from 1 species
UACGUAGGGUGCGAGCGUUAAUCGGAAUUACUGGGCGUAAAGAGCGCGCAGGCGGUCGUUCAAGUCGAGUGUGAAAGCCCCCGGCUCAACUGGGGAGGGUCAUUCGAUACUGCUCGACUCGAAGGCAGGAGAGGGAAGCGGAAUUCCCGGUGUAGUGGUGAAAUGCGUAGAUAUCGGGAGGAACACCAGUGGCGAAGGCGGCUUCCUGGCCUGUUCUUGACGCUGAGGCGCGAAAGCUAGGGGAGCAAACGGG